AACGUAGGAGACAAACGUUAUCCGGAGUUACUGGGCGUAAAGGGCGCGUAGGCGGGAUGGCAAGUCAGUCGUGAAAUCUCUCGGCUCAACCGAGAAACGUCGGCUGAUACUGCCGUUCUUGAGGGAUGCAGAGGAGACUGGAAUUCCCGGUGUAGCGGUGAAAUGUGUAGAGAUCGGGAGGAACACCGGUGGCGAAGGCGGGUCUCUGGGCAUCUCCUGACGCUGAGGCGCGAAAGCGUGGGGAGCAAACGGG
rnacentral:rRNA from 1 species